rnacentral:rRNA from 1 species
AUUGAACGCUGGCGGCAGGCCUAACACAUGCAAGUCGAGCGGAUGAAGGGAGCUUGCUCCUGGUUUCAGCGGCGGACGGGUGAGUAAUGCCUAGGAAUCUGCCUGGUAGUGGGGGAUAACGUCCGGAAACGGGCGCUAAUACCGCAUACGUCCUGAGGGAGAAAGUGGGGGAUCUUCGGACCUCACGCUAUCAGAUGAUCCUAGGUCGGAUUAGCUAGUUGGUGGGGUAAAGGCCUACCAAGGCGACGAUCCGUAACUGCGCUGAGAGGAUGAUCAGCCACACGGAAACGGAGACACGGCCCAGCCUCCUACGGGAGGCAGCAGUGGGGAAUAUUGGACAAUGGGCGCAAGCCGUACCCAGCCAUACCGGGUGGGUGAAGAAGGCCUUCGGGUUGUAAAGCCUUUUUGUUGGGAAAGAAAAGCAGCAGGUUAAUACCCCGCUGUUCUGACGGUACCCAAAGAAUAAGCACCGCCUAACUUCGU